UGAAGUACCAUACAAGUUAUAUGUAGGAAUAUUAUAUUUUACAGGGGAUUAUGAAAGACAAAGAAAAAGUCAAAGUCAAGUUCACAAAGUUGGAUAGUAAUUACACUAGUUCUUGUCUUUGGGUUUAUUGGUGUGGUUGUUGUUAUAGUGUGUAUUGUAUGUAGAUGUAGUACUAAAUCUAGAAAAGGUAAAAGUAAAGAAAGACGAGAUGAAAAUGACAAACAUUCAGACUCUGGAGUUGGCAUGACACCUUUUUCUAGUGAGCAAGUUCUUCCAGAGACACCUGACAGUCCUGCUGUUGUACAGAUUGAAACUGAGGAAGAAAAUGUUCAUAGACAGACAGAACAUCAUUCUUUGUUGCAACAUGGAGAAGUACAAACAGUGCUCAAAGAACAAACAGCUGAGUACAAAACACUCGAGAAGCAAGCAAAUGAACAAAAAAUUGCUAAAGUACUGCCUAUAGUAAAGUGCAUUUAUGUACACCAAAGCAAUCCCAGAUUAUGAUGAUGACGACAAACCAAUACCAUACAUUUGUUAUGUUUAAUUUAGUUCUUGAACUAUGUCGCGUAAAUUAUCUUUUUCAAUUGCUUCUGAUGAGGCAGAAACAGAGCAGUUAAGAUCAGCAAGUCUACAUGCAAAUCAGCCCAUUUCAUGGUUAGCUGAGGAUCAAAUUGAUUUAAGAAGACCUCCUUCAGACGAUAAUCCCUACGGAUACAGUAACAGAGAUUUGAUCACUCCUGUUGAUUUCAUCGAUGUUGAUCAUGAUUUUGGAUCUCCGCUGGCAAUGACUGGUUCACUUGAGGAUCUCUGAAAUGUUUAAACUACCUCUGAGUCAGUGUUUUUAGCAUUUUAUAUUUAUACAUGAAAUGUUACAAAUUUAAAAAAAAUAUUGAGGUAUUUUUUGAGGCAUUUGUUUUACAUAACAACAAAGUAUUGUCAUUGUCAAUGUCAUUAUAUAUUUAAUGUUAUUGCUACUUUACAGUACAAUUUUAAGUGAAGUUUAUUUUCACGGCCAAGGUUGUGUAAUGGUGCAGCUAGCUUUAACAAUUAUUUCAAAAGAAAUGAUCAAUUGGUAGUUGUUUUAAGUCACUGACUCUAAAUGGCAAUCAUCAUAAAUGACAGUUAUUAAAUGAUAAGUUUCAUAUGAUGAUUUUGUGAAAAAGUGUACCUUCUCAGUAUCAAACAAUCAUCUUUCAUUUAAGAGGGUUUUAUUUACUAGCAGCUACAACGUAAUAUACUUAUUAAUAAGUUGUAAAUUAUUUCUAUUUAUCAAACUUCAACAAUAAGGAAUUAGAAAAUUCAACUGAAACGUUCAGUGUGAUAUUUAAAACCAUAAAGUUAACACAAGUCAAUGAAUUUUGUACAUGUACAUUUAUGAUCAUUUAUACAGUUAAAAAGAUGAACUGAAUUUUUUUUAGUUAUGAAUCAGAAAGAACAAGGUCAGAGAUAAGGUCACUAGUGCCACAGAAUGAUGAACUGACCAUCUUGUAUUUUUAUUUCAUAUAUAAAUGUGAAAUUUCUUUUUUAAUGUCAUCAAUUGGUGAAUCAUACCAGUGCCAUAUUCAUUACACAGUACAAGAGUAGAUGACUAUUGAUUGGUUAAUUUCUCCUUGCAACAAAUUGCAAAGGAAUUUAUUAAUGUUACCAUCUGUCUAUUCACCCGUAACAAUAUUCUGUACACCAAGGAGGUCUAAACUUGCAUCUUUCCUUCAAUGAAAUUUUUCUAUUGCUUGACUUUUAGAAGUGUUUGAAAUGCAUAUGAUUUUAAGGUCAGAGUUCAAGGUCACUGUCACAACUAAGUGAUUCAGAGAUGAUAUUUCGGUGUCCUUGUACAUUUGCAGUUGCCAGUAUACAUAUAUCAUGAAAUAGGGAAAAAACAUAAAUUACAUGUAAUACAAGCAUUUUGUGGUGUUUUUGUUCAAAAUAUAUGUGUUCAAAUUUGCAAACAAUCUCAGAUUUGCUCAUUUUAAUAGUUGUAACUUAUUACAUAGAAACUUAUUAGGUCAUUACUAUAUAUGUGUGAGUGUGUGUUUUCUGUAGCUGUAGGAUCAAAAUUUUUGUCAUGUUAGAUUUGUAUAGUUAUAUUUUCAUUAUUAUAUAUUUAAACAUAAGCAAAGAUCUUGGCAAUUAUAAACAAAAAGUGAAUUAAAUUAAUUGUUAUGAUUUUUUUUAUGAGAUGAUUUAUUUGCACCCAAAACCAAAGGAUUAGAAAGGGAACAAAUAUAGAUCAUCAUAUGACAUUUAUCAAGGGCCAUAAACCAUUUUGUAAAGUAACCUAUAAGAGGCCCCUUUGAAAACAAAACUGAUUACUUUAAAUUAGCCAAAAUGACUUCAGCUUUGGAACACAAAAAUAAGAAGUGCAUGGCUGAAGAUAACAGGACAUUUAAUUUUUUUAUGGUAUUUCACAUGUUAUCAUUGUGUGAUAAUGUUAUCAAAUUACUUGAAUAUGAUAUUACAGUGUUAAUGCAUUUCCUUCAUAAAACCAAAUGAAUAAAAUCUUUUAAACAAAAUUUGAAUCUCAUUUUCUCACAUUUGAAUAAGUAAAUAAAAAUUCACCAAAUAAGAGUAAGAAUGGUAUCGGUAAUAUAAAAAGUUUUUAUAUGACCUGUCUUACUCCAAUUUUUAUACGACCCCAAAAAAAUUUUUGUGGUCGUAUAUUGGUAUGACGUUGGCGUCGUCGUCGUCGUCGUCGUCGUCGUCUGGCGUCGUCCAGCGUCGUCUGAAGACACAUUGGUUUUCGCACUCUAACUUUAGUUUAAGUGAAUGGAUCUCUUUGAAAUUUUACCACAAGGUUCAAUACCACAAAAGGAAGGUUGGGAUUGAUUUUGGGGGUUAUGGUACCAACAGUAAAGGAAUAAGGGGCCAAAAAGGGGCCAAAAAUAAGCAUUUUUGUAACUUCCAGACAUAACUUGUGUGUUAGUGUAUGGAUCUCUCUGACAUUGUACCACAAAGUUCCAUAUCACAAAAGGAAUGCUGGGAUUGAUUUUGGGGGUAAUUGCCUCAAAAUUUUAGGAAUUAGGGGCCGAAAAAGGGGCAAAAAACAAGCAUUUUUCUAGUUUCAGGACCAUAACUUGUGUGUAAGUGUAUGGAUCUUUCUGAAAUUGUACUACAAGGUUCCAUAUCACAAAUGGAAAGCUGGGUUUGAGUUUGGGGGUAAUUGCCCUAAACGUUUAGGAAUUUGGGGCCAAAAAGGGGCCAAAAAACACAUUUUUCUAGUUUCCAGACAAUAACUUGUGUUCAAGUGUAUGGAUCUCUCUGAAAUUGUACUGCAAGGUACCAUACCACAAAGGGAAGGCUGGGAUUAAGUUUGGGGGUGAUGAAUCAUAAGGGGGUUCAAAAAAUUUGGGGGGGGGGGGAUUUUUUUUUUUCCUUUUUUUUUUCUUUUAAAAUUUUCCAUUUUAAGUUGGUUAUUUCUGAUUUAUAUUUAAAAGCAAAUAAUAAUGAUAUGGUAGGAGAUACACACCAAACAGGAUGUGUAAAUUAUUAUAUAAUAAGUAUUGUGCAAUAGCAAGAAAUUUUCAAUUGCACAGUAUUGCACCAUAGCAAGAAAUCUUCAAUUGCACAGUAUUGCGCAAUAGCAAGAAAUCUUCAAUUGCACAGUAUUGCGCAAUAGCAAGAAAUAUCCAAUAGCACAAUAUUGCGCAAUAGCAAGAAAUUGUCAAUUGUACAGUAUUGCGCAAUAGCAAGAAAUAUUUAAUUGCACAGUAUUCUGCAAAAGAAGAUACUUCGUAUAAAUUGCUUAUUUCUUGACCAAUUUCAAUGGGGUUUUAUUCUUGAAUUCUUGGGGUUUUUUAAUAUGCUAAAUCAUACCGUGUAUUAAGUUUUUGGAUUUUGGGCCCCGUUUUUAAAUUGGUCCACAUUGAGGUCCAAAGGGUCCAAAAUUAAACUUUGUUUGAUUUCAUCAAAAAUUGAAUUAUUGGGGUUCUUUGAUAUGUCGAAUCUAACCGUGUAUUUAGAUUCAUAAUUUUUGGUUCCGUUUUCAAAUUGGUCUACAUUAAGGUCCAAAGGGUCCAAAAUUAAACUUAGUUUGAUUUUAACAAAAAUUGAAUUUUAAGGGUUCUUUGAUAUGCUGAAUCUAAACAUGUAUUUAGAUUUUUGAUUAUGGGCCCAGUUUUCAAGUUGGUCCAAAUCGGGGUCCAAAAUUAAACUUUGUUUGAUUUCAACAAAAAUUGAAUAUAUGGGGUUCUUUGAUAUGCUGAAUCUAACCAUGUAUUUAGAUUUUUGAUUUUUGGGCCUCGUUAUCAACUUUGUCCACAUUGAGGUCAAAAGGGUCCAAAAUUAAACUUUGUUUGAUUUCAUCAAAAAUUGAAUUCUUUGGGUUCUUUGAUAUGCUGAAUCUAACCAUGUAUUUAGAUUUUGGAUAUUGGACCAUAAUAGGUGAAUGUCCAAUUUAAAAAUUUUAAGUUCUUAGACCACAUUCAUUCUGUGUCAGAAACCUAUGCUGUGUCAAAUAUUUAAUCACAAUCCAAAUGCAAAGCUGUAUCAAGCUUGAAUGUUGUGUCCAUACUUGCCCCAACUGUUCAGGGUUCGACCUCUGCGGUCGUAUCAAGCUGCGCCCUGCAGAGCAUUUUAUUUAUAGAUUUUUUUUAAAAAGUGGUUAAUAUAUCUUCCUAGACAGGAGAUAAUGUACAAGUUUUGGAUAAAGAUAUUUUGAAAAUGUAAUUUUUAACCGAUCAUUGUACAAUUACCCUUUAUUUUAUAUCUUGAACUUUAUAUAAAAUAGUCACAAUUAACUCAUGAUUAUUGAAAUAAUUAAUAUAUUUGUACAACCAGUUGUAUUGUUACAUACACUAUACAAUAUUUACCAAGAGUUUGUGUGCAAUAUUUCCAGUUUCACACACAAAGUAAUUUCACAUUACUUGUGUAUGAACAUGAUGACAUAUCAUACUUUUAAUGCUUUACUUUUCUUUUUAUAAAUGUACUGGUUUUAAGAUGUUGUGUACUGACACAGUAUGAAAUCUAAAUUUGAUUUUAGAUUUAAGUAUUUUACAUAGAUUUUUAGGAAAGAAAGUCUUUUUAGAUUGGACUGGGUAAUUGAAAGAAAAUUAAAUCAUAGUUUUAUAGAUAUUACAUGAACUACGUAAGCUCAAGUCAUUACAAGUUAUGUAAACAAACAACUGUUUUAUACACAGGGUAAAUAGUUUUGCUUACAACAUUAAUUUUUCAUAACUUCAUGUUGGUAUGUAUAGACUAUCAUUAUCAUAUUUGUAGAAAAACGUGUUGUCCAAGUAAAAUUGAAGUGACUAGGAAGAAAGGUAUAAUUAAGUAUGGUAAAUACAAAAUUAGAAUUAAACGGUUAAUUACAGAAUUUGGUAUGUUUUGAUGGGUUUAAUUUUAAUAAAACGGUUUAAAAAAAUGGAAGGUAUAAAAAAGUAUCUCUUUUUUGCUCUCUGAUGUUCAAACCCAGGAGUCCCCAUGUUGUUUUUUUUAAAAAUAAAAUGACUAACAAAAAAAGUUGAAAGAAACCAAAAAAAAAUUUGAAGUGCCAAGAACUUCUUAAUCGCAGCAAUGAACAGUUGGACCAAUGUGCAUACACCGAGAGUCAAUGAUGAUGAUGAUGGGGGUUUAUACGACCUUGACUGGCUAUAAAGCCCUCGCACGGUCAGCAUACAACGAGAGUCAAUCAACUCGAGUAAAUAAAAUGUGUUCAUAAUUUUAUAUAAUUACACAAAAUGUAUAGUAGUAUUAUGGUAUAGUUUGGUCGUUGUCAUUGUCUGUCCACGUGUUCUCAUAAUAACUGAUAAUCAUGGUCAAUCAUUUAACUACACAAAUGUUCAUCUUGUCCUCCUCACAUGUAGUAGUGGUAUAAUGCAACUAGACGUAGUCUUUUAUUAAUUAAAAAAAAUGAAUAAAAGUGGCCUUUUAUUAAGG